GGAGGCAUUAUAAAGUGUGACUUGAGUAACUGUUAUAUUCCAAAGGCAUGCCCGGCUAGUCCGAGUUAUGUAAUUCAGCACCCGACCAUUGUCAAUAAACAAAUCAGUUACAACAGUCAACGUUUCAUUACAAAAGUGUUUUGUUCUUUGUUUACAAGUGACCAAACAUCAUUCUUCUAGUUUUUUCUAAAUACGAUUCAUCAUGUGCAUCGUGGGUAUAGAAACAUGUACAGUACAGACAAUUUAGGGUCCCUAGAGUUAAAAUAGGGUUGCGGUAUAUUACAUUAUAGUAAACUGACGUUAUGACAUCAAAGCUGAAAGAAGAAGGUUCUAUAUUGUGCAUAGUAACGUUCUAACAUACUUCCAAAAAACCUCCAUACGUGAAGACAGAAUAGCCCCCAUUAUAAAUGAUUUGAUACACAAGCAUCCAGUUGGAAAUCUACUUCCAGCUGAAGAAGAAAGUACAAACUUGACAUAGAAAAAAAGGGCUAAAUUCCGGAUAUAGGACAUUUACAAUGCGUCAGACCUGUUCAGUCUUCUUACCUUGCUUACAAAAUGUCCCUUGUAAUUGUGUUGCUAUUCAAAAGACACUCAUUAUAAACAUUCUUUUUUAAACAGGUGCAUUAUAUAUAGGCAUGAUGUGUACUUAGAGAUAACCUUUUGAACAUGUAAAGAAUAUGUUCACUAUUUUGAAAGGUACUCUAGAGUGUCCUAUAAGUGGCACAUGACAAUGACGGGAAGGUUAACCAUUUAAAUGAUUAAAGAAAAUCAGAAAAAAUGUACUGCUUUGGAUUUAAAAGUGACAUAGCAAAAAAAAAGUACUAUUGAGUGACAGUGCACUAGUGGAGGGACGGUUAAAGUAAAGGCAAUUCUUCCAAAAUAUUGUCUCAACAUGGCUAAAAUAAAAUACACCAAAUUGCUUACCCAAUUUUUUUUCAAAUAUCGCAUUACAAUCAACCUUCCACACACCCGUACAUGUAUUAAACGAGACAGUAUGCAAAGACAUAUACAGUCUGGGUGUAUGAUUCCAGAAUAAUAGGCAUACCUCAACCUGAGAAAAGAAUCUCUACAAACCAACUGUGACCUCUGUCAAUUUAGUGCAUUGAUCGUUAGACUCUGUAGCAUUUAAAACAAUACUCACAGAAUAUUAUAUAUAAAACAAAUAUCAAAAACAGCAGUGACAGUGAGUAAAAAAAAACACAGUGGCCCUGCCAACAAUAAAAUGUUUGGGAAAUGUAAGAUAAAAAAAAUGUUUCUCAAAGCUGACACUCGUCUGUAAGAUACAAUGCUGGUAUCUUUGUCGUAUCGAUCAGUGUGAACUGAAUGUUACAAUAAUAACUUGCAGCAGGGAAGGAUAAUAUUAUCCGACGAAGUAGUCCAUGAAAAAUGAACAAAAUAGUAUGUGAUGUGGCAGUUUUAAAGGUCAGUUGCCGUUGCACUGUGUUCAUAAUCUACACAGCAAAAUAAGAACGUUUGUGAGUAUGAUCGACCCCAUGCUAUACAUCCAUGCAUUCUACUCUAUGCAAUCUCCCUAUAUAAUAUCAGGAACUACUUUAUAAAAGCUAAUGAGGGGGGGAAAUAUAAUUUUACAUCCAAGCUGCCCCCUACGGCGUUCAUACAAGAGUGACCUCUGUCUCAUGUUUCGCCACCCCAAACGUAUUGUCAAAUAGACGGCGCUUCAGCACUUCCAAUCGGUUGACUUCGUGGUGCAACGUGACUGGUGUGUUCUCCUUCAGCUCUCCUCUGUUAGAGUCUUUGUUCCCAGAGCCCCGGCUCCGGCAGGCUGCUCGCUGCGUACGCAAAGCGCCACGGUCAAAGGUGAUUACGUGGGCAGCUUCUCGACCUCUUCUAAAAAGACGACAAACAAUGAAGAAGAAAGACUUUUCAGCGGGUUCAUUUUGAACGGCAGAGAUGGCGAGUUUGUGUGGGGACUAAAUAUGCCUCUGAUCUGAAGACGAUGGCGGCAACAGGCCUAACGCUCAUGAGCUUGGUGAUGGACUUGGGAAGGUGACUGACCACAUGGAGAGGGGGUGAGGUCCUGCCCUGGGGGGGUAAACUGUAGGUCGGUCCCCAGUGCAGCGAUGGAGCUCCUGGGACGAAUGCAGCGGUCACCUGAGAAACUUCUGCGGAGCAAUGCC
ensembl:lncRNA